rnacentral:lncRNA from 1 species
AGCAAAUCCAUGAAUACUAUAGCUUCUGUUGCCUUGCUUCGUUAGGUUUUCUUUUCCCUAGUAAUCGUGAUGGGGUGACUUCCUGCUGAGAGGUCCACUUAAGAUGAUGACAAAACCUGUCUCUUUGCAGUAAAAAAUAGGACUUUGCCAGAUGGCAGAUGUCUUUUUGGUUAGCAAUGUCAUGCCGUAUUUUGAACGAAGAGAUGACAGGGGGAGGAGUCGUUGAGAACAGCUUUUUCAAGUCACACCAAGGCAUGCAAUACGGGGUCUUGGAACGCAGGAGGAAGUGAGUAAACAAGUCUUAUGGAGCUGAAAAGAGCUACUGAUUACCUAACCCUGUUCUGCACGUUAUCGUCUGAAUCUGACUGAGCACUGACUGAAUCUGCUGAGCAUCCUGCACCACCCGAUACUGCCUAGGGGAGAAGGAAGACUCAGGUUCUCAGGGAGCUGAUGAUCAAUCUGUGCCUUGGCUGGCCUGCCACCCAUCUCUGAGUCCCUCGUCCUUGCCAGGCGGCCCUGCGGAAGGGGCUCACCGCGAGCCAGGAGCAGACACCCUCUCGCCCUCUUGGGAAAGCGGAUCAGGCCGGCUUCUGGGGCGCUCCCUGCACCCCGCCACCUUCUGGGACCUCCGCUGAGAGCCGCGCUUGGGGCACCGCCGGGCCAGCCUCCAACCCCGCCCCCGACAAGGCAGAGCCCGAGACACACGUAGGCCUUUUGUUGUCUCUCUUCUGCU